rnacentral:rRNA from 1 species
UACGUAGGGUGCAAGCGUUGUCCGGAAUUAUUGGGCGUAAAGAGCUUGUAGGCGGUUUGUCGCGUCUGCUGUGAAAUUUCGGGGCUCAACCCCGAACUUGCAGUGGGUACGGGCAGACUAGAGUGUGGUAGGGGAGACUGGAAUUCCUGGUGUAGCGGUGAAAUGCGCAGAUAUCAGGAGGAACACCGAUGGCGAAGGCGGCUCUCUGGGCCUUACCUGACGCUGAGGAGCGAAAGCGUGGGUAGCGAACAGG